UACGUAGGCAGCAAGCGUUGUUCGGAAUUACUGGGCGUAAAGAGUACGUAGGUGGUUUGCCAAGUCCGAUGUGAAAUCUCCUGGCUUAACUGGGAGGGUGCGUUAGAUACUGGCAGGCUUGAGUGUGGGAGAGGAGAGCGGAAUUCCUGGUGUAGCGGUGAAAUGCGUAGAUAUCAGGAGGAACACCAAUAGCGAAGGCAGCUCGCUGGGACGUUACUGACACUGAGGCGCGAAAGCGUGGGGAGCGAACAGG
rnacentral:rRNA from 1 species